rnacentral:lncRNA from 1 species
AUGGUGCAAAAUAAAUUAGAGAUGAUUUAUUUUUAUUUUUAUUGCCUGCGUCUUUGUUUCGUGCUUUGUUUGUGCAUUUGAUUAGGGCAGCGGAUUAAAGGAAUGGGUUUUUUGUGAAUUUUCUGUGGUACCAAUUGUUAAUUAAUCUGCUGAUAGGUGUUAAAGUGGGUAAGAGGUCAUGCUGGCGUGCACGGAGGCGUUGGCGUGCACGCGGCGACUUGCGGGCAUCGGGGUCGAGCGGAGGCGCGGGGGAGGUCGGGGUCGGCCGGUGCACGCCAACGCCUCCCUCUCCGUGGCGAGGCCGGCGCGCCCCGUGCUCUUACAGGAAUAAAAAGAAGAAGAAGAAGAAGAAGAAGAAGAAGAGGGGAAAAAAAAAAAAAAAGCUCCAGCAGGAGGAAGAAGAAGAAGAAGAAGAAAAAGAAAAAGAGAAAAAAAAAUUGCUCCUGCAGAAAGAAGAAGAAGAAGAAGAGCCUGCCUGGCGGUGCUCCGGCCAUCGCUUUUUUUUUUGAGCGAAAAAAAAAGAAAAGAACGAGAGAACGAAGAGGAGAGAGAAAGAGGAAAGAGAAAAAGUAAUAAGGGUAUUUUGGUCAGUUUGCUGAAAAAGCGGACCGAAUUUGCAAAAACGAAAAAGGUGGCCCGGUUUUGCAAAAGCCCAAAAUAAGUGGAUUUUUUAUGCAAAUUGG